UGAUUAGUAGGAUAAAGGUUCUGUACCAUU
rnacentral:piRNA from 1 species